AGGGCAGUAGCUCAAUGGUAGAGUAGCGGUCUCCAAAACCGUUGGUUGGGGGUUCGAGUCCCUCCUGCCCUG
rnacentral:tRNA from 1 species